rnacentral:rRNA from 1 species
AUGCAGUCGAGGGGCAGCACGGUGUAGCAAUACAUUGGUGGCGACCGGCGCACGGGUGAGUAACGCGUAUGCAACCUACCUAUCAGAGGGGAAUAACCCGGCGAAAGUCGGACUAAUACCGCAUAAAACAGGGGUUCCACAUGGAAAUAUUUGUUAAAGAAUUAUCGCUGAUAGAUGGGCAUGCGUUCCAUUAGAUAGUUGGUGAGGUAACGGCUCACCAAGUCUACGAUGGAUAGGGGUUCUGAGAGGAAGGUCCCCCACACUGGUACUGAGACACGGACCAGACUCCUACGGGAGGCAGCAGUGAGGAAUAUUGGUCAAUGGGCGAGAGCCUGAACCAGCCAAGUCGCGUGAAGGAUGAAGGAUCUAUGGUUUGUAAACUUCUUUUAUAUGGGAAUAAAGUGAGGAACGUGUUCCUUUUUGUAUGUACCAUAUGAAUAAGCAUCGGCUAACUCCGUGCCAGCAGCCGCGGUAAUACGGAGGAUGCGAGCGUUAUCCGGAUUUAUUGGGUUUAAAGGGUGCGUAGGUGGUUAAUUAAGUCAGCGGUGAAAGUUUGUGGCUCAACCAUAAAAUUGCCGUUGAAACUGGUUGACUUGAGUAUAUUUGAGGUAGGCGGAAUGCGUGGUGUAGCGGUGAAAUGCAUAGAUAUCACGCAGAACUCCGAUUGCG